rnacentral:lncRNA from 1 species
GCAAAAGUUCUUACCUGGAGGAUCUCCUGCUUUGUAGAGCAGGCUGAGAAGCAGUUGUGCUAGGAGUGUGAUCGUGCAUCAUGUCCAGCGUGCCUGUGGGUCUCUUCUACUGCUGGCUGAAGGUUCAACCCUUUGGAUAAAGGAAACAUGGCUUUAAAACUGAGGAUCCUGAACCUUUCUGGAGUGGAUUUACAGCAGAAGUAACGGACAGACCCUUCUGCCCAUCCUCUUGGGGUUGGCACCCAGCAGCAGUGUUGCUCCUCUCAGGGGUUCACACAGCUCAGAGGCAUUGGUGAAUACUCUGCUAUCAACAAUCAAGUGUCUGGAUUUGAACAACCGAAAAUUCAGGGAAACUUCUUAUAGCAAACAGCAAGUGCUUGAGAAGCAUGCAUUCCUGGCUUGUGUCAGCACCAGUGCGGCCAGCAGGAGCAGGAGGGAAUUGUCCCUCUGCAGUCAGCACUGAUUCUAUGACUCUGUGAAAAGCAGAGGCUCAGGUGAUAAUGUGCCUCCUGAUGCUGGAGCUCUGAGGAAGAAAACCAACCAUCUCUAUCCUAGGAGCACCCAGCUACAUGAGCACACAUGGAGUGGUUCUAAUGCCUCUAAAGUUAAGCUUAGAUUAAUUACUAAUCUGAAUCACAUCAAUGUUUUCUGUACUGACUCUCUGGUUCAAAGGGAAGGAGAUGUUUUCCAUCAGACAUCUGUACGUGAUUUCUUUCCACCCUGAAGACAUAAAGAUGUGUAGAGGACCAUUAAUAGGAAUGGAUGUGCUUGAGGAGAAGGAACAAGCAGCUGGAGAAGGAGAUGUGAACAGACUGACCUGCUUCAGACUUGUCAUCAGAUCCUGGGAAGCCACCCUUCAGAUUGCUGUGCUACACACUGAUGAGUCAAUCUGUUGCAUUGGAUGUCUUCAGAGAAGGACGGAAAUAAUGAUCCUACUGUCCUGGGAAGAGCUGGAGAGGAAAUGUCAGCCAACGGCAUAUGCAAGUUCACCACGGCAACACCUCUGGAGCACUCGGUAAUGGAGAUGGAGAAAACAUGAAGCUUGGAAAGAAAAGUCUCUCUGAAUAACUAAUACUAAUGUGGAGGAUAAAGAAAUCAGAGUGAUCCUUGUUCAGGAAAGGACCAAUGUGAGAAGUGUGUAUGGUGGUGGAAAAGAAGAUCUGCUUGCAUUGAUAUUGCUGAAAGACAAGGAGUUGUCUCUUGAAUUUUCUCUAGGGAGUUUUUUUUUCUGUAUAUUCUCGUGUGCAGAUAAAAGAAUAAACAAGGUCAAGAAGAUGAUGAACUUAUUCUA